AUUGAACGCUGGCGGCAUGCUUUACACAUGCAAGUCGAACGGCAGCGCGGGCUUCGGCCUGGCGGCGAGUGGCGAACGGGUGAGUAAUGCAUCGGAACGUACCCAGUAGUGGGGGAUAGCCCGGCGAAAGCCGGAUUAAUACCGCAUACGACCUGAGGGUGAAAGCGGGGGACCGAAAGGCCUCGCGCUAUUGGAGCGGCCGAUGUCGGAUUAGCUAGUUGGUGGGGUAAAGGCUUACCAAGGCGACGAUCCGUAGCUGGUCUGAGAGGACGACCAGCCACACUGGGACUGAGACACGGCCCAGACUCCUACGGGAGGCAGCAGUGGGGAAUUCUGGACAAUGGGGGCAACCCUGAUCCAGCCAUGCCGCGUGCGGGAAGAAGGCCUUCGGGUUGUAAACCGCUUUUGUUCGGGAAGAAAUCCUCUGGGCUAAUACCCCGGGGGGAUGACGGUACCGGAAGAAUAAGCACCGGCUAACUACGU
rnacentral:rRNA from 1 species